rnacentral:rRNA from 1 species
UACGAAGGGGGCUAGCGUUGUUCGGAUUUACUGGGCGUAAAGGGCGCGUAGGCGGGCUGAUCAGUCAGGGGUGAAAUCCCAAGGUUCAACCUUGGAACUGCCUUUGAUACUGUCGGUCUUGAGUUCGAGAGAGGUAAGUGGAACUGCGAGUGUAGAGGUGAAAUUCGUAGAUAUUCGCAAGAACACCAGUGGCGAAGGCGGCUUACUGGCUCGAAACUGACGCUGAGGCGCGAAA